UUUUCUGCCACCGAAUACAUUAGCAUGGGAUAAUGGAAUAGGACCCUGUCCUCCUAUUUUCAGUUGGUUUUGGCAGCGCGAGGACUAGGGUAAUGAUUAAUAGGGAUAGUUGGGGGCAUUAAUAUUUAAUUGUCAGAGGUGAAAUUCUUGGAUUUAUGAAAGAUUAACUUCUGCGAAAGCAUCUGCCAAGGAUGUUUUCAUUAAUCAAGAACGAAAGUUAGGGGAUCGAAGACGAUCAGAUACCGUCGUAGUCUUAACCAUAAACGAUGCCGACCAGCGAUUAGGAGACGUUGAAUACAAAACACCACCAUCGGUGCGGUCGUCCUUGGCGUCGGUCUUUCGGGGCCGGCGCGGGGGCGGCUUAGCCCGGUGGCACCGGUGAAUGACUCCCCUAGCAGCUUGUGAGA
rnacentral:rRNA from 19 species